CCUACGGGGGCUGCAGUGGGGAAUAUUGGACAAUGGGCGAAAGCCUGAUCCAGCCAUGCCGCGUGUGUGAAGAAGGCCUUCGGGUUGUAAAGCACUUUCAGUGGGGAAGAAAGCCUUGGGGCUAAUACCCUCGAGGAAGGACAUCACCCACAGAAGAAGCACCGGCUAACUCCGUGCCAGCAGCCGCGGUAAUACGGAGGGUGCGAGCGUUAAUCGGAAUUACUGGGCGUAAAGCGCGCGUAGGCGGUCUGAUAAGCCGGUUGUGAAAGCCCCGGGCUCAACCUGGGAACGGCAUCCGGAACUGUCAGGCUAGAGUGCAGGAGAGGAAGGUAGAAGUCCCGGUGUAGCGGUGAAAUGCGUAGAGAUCGGGAGGAAUACCAGUGGCGAAGGCGGCCUUCUGGACUGACACUGACGCUGAGGUGCGAAAGCGUGGGUAGCAAACAGGAUUAGAUACCCGGGUAGUC
rnacentral:rRNA from 1 species